rnacentral:rRNA from 1 species
GGAUUGACACAUCGGUCGUGCCUUAAGGGGUAUGAACUGGUGUAGUCAAUUUCUCACCUUCUGGAGAACCGCGAUGCCCUUAAUUGGGUGUCACGGGGAACCAGGACCUUUACUUUGAAAAAAUUAGAGUGUUUAAAGCAAGUGAAUAACAGCCUGAAUACAUUAGCAUGGAAUAAUAGA